GUCCUGCUUGUUAGCAGUACAUAUAAUGAUUUUGGAAUAAAACAGAGAAGCAUAGCAUUGACUCUGUUAAGAUGGUAUUAAAAUGUGUGAAGAAUUCUAUAUUUUA